rnacentral:rRNA from 1 species
GAUGAACGCUGGCGGCGUGCCUAAUACAUGCAAGUCGAGCGAACGGACGAGAAGCUUGCUUCUCUGAUGUUAGCGGCGGACGGGUGAGUAACACGUGGAUAACCUACCUAUAAGACUGGGAUAACUUCGGGAAACCGGAGCUAAUACCGGAUAAUAUUUUGAACCGCAUGGUUCAAAAGUGAAAGACGGUCUUGCUGUCACUUAUAGAUGGAUCCGCGCCGCAUUAGCUAGUUGGUAAGGUAACGGCUUACCAAGGCAACGAUGCAUAGCCGACCUGAGAGGGUGAUCGGCCACACUGGAACUGAGACACGGUCCAGACUCCUACGGGAGGCAGCAGUAGGGAAUCUUCCGCAAUGGGCGAAAGCCUGACGGAGCAACGCCGCGUGAGUGAUGAAGGUCUUCGGAUCGUAAAACUCUGUUAUUAGGGAAGAACAUACGUGUAAGUAACUGUGCACAUCUUGACGGUACCUAAUCAGAAAGCCACGGCUAACUAUGUGCCAGCAGCCGCGGUAAUACGUAGGUGGCAAGCGUUAUCCGGAAUUAUUGGGCGUAAAGCGCGCGUAGGCGGUUUUUUAAGUCUGAUGCGAAAGCCCACGGCUCAACCGUGGAGGGUCAUUGGAAACUGGAAAACUUGAGUGCAGAAGAGGAAAGUGGAAUUCCAUGUGUAGCGGUGAAAUGCGCAGAGAUAUGGAGGAACACCAGUGGCGAAGGCGACUUUCUGGUCUGUAACUGACGCUGAUGUGCGAAAGCGUGGGGAUCAAACAGGAUUAGAUACCCUGGUAGUCCACGCCGUAAACGAUGAGUGCUAAGUGUUAGGGGGUUUCCGCCCCUUAGUGCUGCAGCUAACGCAUUAAGCACUCCGCCUGGGGAGUACGACCGCAAGGUUGAAACUCAAAGGAAUUGACGGGGACCCGCACAAGCGGUGGAGCAUGUGGUUUAAUUCGAAGCAACGCGAAGAACCUUACCAAAUCUUGACAUCCUUUGACAACUCUAGAGAUAGAGCCUUCCCCUUCGGGGGACAAAGUGACAGGUGGUGCAUGGUUGUCGUCAGCUCGUGUCGUGAGAUGUUGGGUUAAGUCCCGCAACGAGCGCAACCCUUAAGCUUAGUUGCCAUCAUUAAGUUGGGCACUCUAAGUUGACUGCCGGUGACAAACCGGAGGAAGGUGGGGAUGACGUCAAAUCAUCAUGCCCCUUAUGAUUUGGGCUACACACGUGCUACAAUGGACAAUACAAAGGGCAGCGAAACCGCGAGGUCAAGCAAAUCCCAUAAAGUUGUUCUCAGUUCGGAUUGUAGUCUGCAACUCGACUACAUGAAGCUGGAAUCGCUAGUAAUCGUAGAUCAGCAUGCUACGGUGAAUACGUUCCCGGGUCU